GCCGGGCAUGGUGGUGCGUACCUGUAGCCCCAGCUAUUCGGGAGGCUGACGGGGGAAGAUCGAUUGCUCCCAGGAGUUCUGUGCUGUAGUGCACCAUGCCGAUCAUGUGUCCACGCUAAGUUCGGCAUCAAUAUGGUGACCUCCCGGGAGCGGGGACUACCAGGUUGCCUAAGGAGGGGUUAACUGGCCUAGGUCAGAAAUUGAGCAGGUCAAAACUCCCAUGCUGAUCAGUGGGAUCGCGCCUGUGAAUAGCCACUGCACUCCAGCCUGGGCAACAUGGUAAGACCCCUGUCU
rnacentral:SRP_RNA from 1 species